ACUGUCCAUUAAUAAACGUCGAAAACAUUAUUCAUAUUUAUGUGCAAUACGGGCUACGCGCAGGAUAAUAUUUAUUGCGAAACGAUUUAAAUACCGCCGAAUACAAUACACGCGAGAUAAACAUUAUUCAUUACCGUUAAAAAUAUUGUAUACGUGGUGUAUUGUUUCGGCGAUAAUAUCAUUAUGUAAAUAUUAUGGUUCUGUAUUAUACGAUAACGUUUUU